rnacentral:lncRNA from 1 species
UUAUACAUAUCGUUCUGAAACUUUUUUCCCUCAACAAUGUGCUCUGAAUAUCCAUUAGGAUGCGUAGCGCUACUUACUUUUAUCCUAUUGCAAAUAACUAUAACGAUUCUUUAGAUGUUCCUCUUUGCAAAUAUAUUAAAUUUUCUCAAGAUCAGAACUAGGGAAGAAUUGUUAGACAUACAGUAGACACAUAUACAUGUUAAUGGAUACUGAUCAAUAUCUAACUCAAGUGUUUGAACGCACUUACAGUACUCUGGCAGUGUUUGAAAAUACCCUUUUGCCUCACAUCUUGACGACACGCGACAGCCUAAACUCAGUGACCGCCUGCGCCUUUAAUCCCAGGACUACAUUUCCCAGAAUGCACCGCGGUCCCACGGCCUACCUGGAGGGCGUGAAAUGGAGUGACCAAUCCCGGAGGAUCUCAGGAAAGUGGCGCAGCCUCCACUCCUCACCUACCGCGGGGAAUCCCGGAGAAGCGGGACUACCACUCCCAUCAGCCACCGCGGACAGUCGUCCCGGCCACCAUUUCAAGUCGCGGCAGGGACGGGAGAGGGCCCGGGACUUCACUUCCCGGCAGGCAGUGCGGCCUAAGGGGGCGGAACUCCAUUUCCCAACAGGCUCCAGGCGGCGGGCGCCGUGGUGCCUUGUGUGGGAUGUAAGCGCGGAGGCCGAGGCCCGCCGCCAUGGGGCUGAAGGCCGCCCAGAAGACGCUGUUCCCGCUGCGCUCCAUCGACGACGUGGUGCGCCUGUUCGCUGCCGAGCUGGGCCGAGAGGAACCGGACCUGGUGCUCCUGUCCUUGGUACUGGGCUUCGUGGAGCAUUUCCUAGCUGUCAACCGCGUCAUCCCCACCAAUGUGCCCGAGCUCACCUUCCAGCCCAGCCCCGCGCCCGACCCACCUGGCGGGCUUACCUACUUCCCCGUGGCCGACCUAUCCAUCAUCGCUGCGCUGUACGCCCGCUUCACCGCCCAGAUCCGUGGCGCCGUAGACCUGUCUCUCUACCCGCGAGAGGGGGGUGUCUCCAGCCGAGAGCUGGUAAAGAAGGUCUCCGAUGUCAUCUGGAACAGCCUCAGCCGCUCCUACUUCAAGGAUCGGGCCCACAUUCAAUCCCUCUUCAGCUUCAUCACAGGUUGGAGCCUGACAGGUGGCAAAGGGCGAGAAUCCUGUCUCACCUGGGGACCUUGGCCCACUUCUUCACAACACUGUUAUGGUUUGCAGAGCCCUUUAAGACCUGUAAGGCUGGUGAAGUGGGGCAAGUGUUAUUACCCUCUUUGCAGCUAGGGAAACUGAAGUCCAGAGAAGGGAAGUGA